UGUGUGUGUGUGUGUGUGUGUGUGUGUGUGUGUGUGUGUAUAUACACAUAUAUACACACACACACACACAUAUACA